AUAUUAUGAACUUUAAUUGCCCAAGCAUCUGUGAUCCAGUGGUGGGAGAAGAUUUGGGGAAGGGUGAAACUUUCAGAGCUGGGUUCGAUCCUCCCUGGAAACAAAAAUCACAUUUGUUUGGAAAGUCUGUCAGUUGGGCUUUAGCCCAAUUGGUUUACCUGGUAGUCAGAAAUGCAGGCGGCCUGACUACCCCCUGGCAUUAGUCGGAAAGCAUCCAAAUUCGGGACAGACAGUGUGGUGGUCUUUCGGGGAGAAGUCCACUCUGAAGUAUUUCGGUGCAUUUCUACUGAGGCUGACCGGAUCAGCCGAUAAAGUUUAUAAAAUA
rnacentral:sRNA from 1 species